rnacentral:rRNA from 1 species
GUAUAAGAGACAGCAGUCGCCGCGGGAAUACGUAGGGUGCAAGCGUUAAUCGGAAUUACUGGGCGUAAAGCGUGCGCAGGCGGUUAUAUAAGACAGAUGUGAAAUCCCCGGGCUCAACCUGGGAACUGCAUUUGUGACUGUAUAGCUAGAGUACGGCAGAGGGGGAUGGAAUUCCGCGUGUAGCAGUGAAAUGCGUAGAUAUGCGGAGGAACACCGAUGGCGAAGGCAAUCCCCUGGGCCUGUACUGACGCUCAUGCACGAAAGCGUGGGGAGCGAACAGGAUUAGAUACCCCAGUAGUCCCUGUCUCUUAUAC